UACGAGGGGAGCUAGCGUUGUUCGGAAUUACUGGGCGUAAAGGGCGUGUAGGCGGUACCAUAAGUCAGAUGUGAAAGCCCUGGGCUUAACCUAGGAUGUGCAUUUGAUACUGUGGAACUAGAGAUCGAGAGAGGAAAGUGGAAUUACGAGUGUAGAGGUGAAAUUCGUAGAUAUUCGUAAGAACACCAGUGGCGAAGGCGACUUUCUGGCUCGAUACUGACGCUAAGGCGCGAAAGCGUGGGGGAGCAAACAGG
rnacentral:rRNA from 1 species